rnacentral:rRNA from 1 species
UAAGUAAUGUGAAUACAGAAUUCAGUGAAUCAUCGAACCUUUGAACGCACAUUGCGCCCGCCGGUAUUCCGGCGGGCAUGCCUGUUCGAGCGUCAUUUCACCACUCAAGCCCAGCUUGGUGUUGGGGCACCCGGCCGCCCAGCGGCCCCGGGGCCCCCAAGUCCAUCGGCGGGCUCGUCGGGACCCUGAGCGCAGUAACACGCGGUAAAACGCGCCCUCGUUCGGCGGAUCCAGUCGGGUUCCAGCCGCUAAACCCCCCUAAGCUUCUAAGGUUGACCUCGGAUCAGGUAGGAAUACGCGCUGAACUUAA